AUCAAGAGUCGCUAUUAUCGAUCUGUCGCAGAUAACUAGAGUCGCUCCCAGCCAGUAAACAUGCCUCCGCCGUCGUGUUGCGCCAGUUGCUGCGGGACUAGCGAACCUUGUACAGCCAACUGUAAAUGCAGCUCUUCCUGCAAUUGUACAAAGUGUCCGUGUGGCAGCAAAGAUUCAUCAGGUACCAAGUGAGCCGGUGGAAUUGCACGCAGAACGGGGUGUAACUACAUGGUUUUUGCCUUCGCCAUGGAUGAUGACCACCUCUGCUAUGAUUAAAAACCUUGCAUUGCCUAUGUUUAAGAAAAAUAAAGUUUUUGAAAUGUAACAACGUCGUCUCUGCUUAUUUAUCUCAGCAUAGACGUAGAAAAAAGCACACUACUUCUUUGGAAAUUUAAAUGUACACUUCUACAACAGUAGAUACUGUAGUGGAACUGAGACCAAUGACUCUAAUGGAUUUUCUUUUCCACCUGUAAAUACAAACGAAUAGAUUAUAUCAAUAAACAGAGA